rnacentral:lncRNA from 1 species
GCACGUCUAAAGGUACCAUCAUCCCAGCAGGUUUCUGAUGCUCAACUUUCGACUUCUGACAAACUAAACAGGAAUACACAAACUGUGCCACAUCUCGUUUCAAACCAGACCACCAGAAAAUCUUCUUUAGAUCAUGAUACAUCUUCGUAGCUCCCGGAUGAAUACUCAAGCUACUUCUAUGACUCUCUUCAAGAAUCAUCUUCUUAAUCUCUUCAUUGUCUGGGAUACAAAUUCUUCCUCGGAAUCUCAACACACCUUGAUUAUCGAUUUUAAAAUCACUGUCUUUAGUCUGAUCUCUAGCAAUCAACAAGUCCACAAACUUUACAUCAACUUUCUGUGCUUCCUUGAUACUUUUCAGAAAUUCACUAUCAAUCUUCAGCAUACCCAGUUUCACACUCUGAGGUGACCAUUCGCAAACCAAACUCAUAUCUCGGAACUGUUCAAGUAAUUCGAACUCUCUGACCAUCAUGGCGGACAUAUGCAAUGUCUUCCUACUCAAGGCAUCUGCAACAACAUUAGCUUUACCUGGAUGAUAAUUCAAACCAAAGUCAUAAUCUUUCAACAAUUCGAGCCAUCUUCGCUGCCUCAUAUUCAAUUCCUUCUGAUCGAACAAAUACUUCAAACUCUUGUGAUCACUAAACACUUCAAAUCUCGAACCAUACAAGUAAUGUCUCCAUAUCUUCAAUACAAAGACUACGGCCGCCAACUCGAGAUCAUGCGUAGGAUAAUUCUUCUCAUGAACUCUCAACUGUCUUGAAGCAUAAGCUACCACUUUACCUUCUUGCAUAAGUACACCUCCUAAACCCAACUUGGACGCAUCACAAUAAACCACAAAAAGUUCAUCCGACUUCGGCAAAAUUAACACUGGAGCAGUCGUCAACCGCUUCUUCAAUUCACCGAAACUUUUCUCACAAUGAACGUCCCACACAAAAGUUUUACCUUUACAAGUCAACUGCGUUAGCGGAAGAGCUAACUUAGAAAACCCUUCAAUAAACCUUCUAUAGUAACCAGCUAAACCCAAGAAACUUCUAAUCUCAGUAACGGACUUUGGAGUCUCCCACUGUGAUACCGCUUCAACUUUAGACGGAUCCACUGCAAUACCAUCACCAGAAAUAACAUGGCCUAGAAAACUCACUUCUUUCAACCAGAAUUCACACUUAGACAAUUUAGCAUAAAGCUUCUUCUCUUUCAACACUUGCAAAACAAUCUUCAGAUGCUCAGCAUGUUCUUCUUCGGUCUUGGAGUAAAUCAAAAUAUCGUCGAUAAUCAAUACACAACCGCAUACUACCAUCUUUCUUCUUUACUAGCAAAACCGGCGCUCCCCAAGGUGAAACACUUGGUCUAACAAACUUCUUCUCAAGCAAGUCUUCUAACUGUUUCUUCAACUCAGAUAACUCAGAAGCAGACAUACGAUAAGGUGCCAUCGAGACCGGCUUCGUUCUAGGAACAAGAUCAAUAGAAAAUUCAACUUCUCUCUCUGGAGGCACAUCAGGAAUCUCAUCUGGAAAAACUUCAGGAAAUUCACACACCACCGGUAACCUGUCAAUCACUGCUUGAUUCUCAAUAGAUACAGUAGCCAUUAACGAAAACAUCAAGAUACCGUCGCGUUCCAGUUGCUUCAGCUGCUUAGUAGAUAAAAACUCUGCACCACUUUCCUCUUCGACGGAAGAGAAAUGUACUGACUUGCUAAAACAAUUAAUAAGAACGUGGUUGUACUCUAACCAGUUCAUACCCAAAAUCACAUCCAUACCACUCAAAGGUAGACAAACUAAAUCCAUUUCAAAAUCACGACCAAACAUAGACAAAGGACAUUUCAAACAUACGAGAGAAGUAGUCACUGAACCCUUAGCUGGAGUUUUGACAACCAUCUCUCCAUUCAUAUCAGACAAAUCAAGACCCAAAGCAGAAACACAAUCGAAAGCAAUAAAACAAUGCGUAGCACCAGUAUCAAUAAUAGCAACUAAAGGAGUAUUAUUAAUAUAGCAAGUACCUCUGAUCAAACGAUCCUCAUUCUCUGUCUGAGUCCCAGUCAAAGCAAAGACCCUACCAGUAGUCGGCGCCCUCUUUGGCUGAGUACACUGUGAACUAAUGUGACCCUCUCCAUUGCAAUUAAAGCACACAAUGUCUGUACGAUUGCAAUCAGCCACCACAUGACCCUUCUUACCACACCGGACGCACUUCUUGAUUUCCUCAGGACAGGCGUUGCUCUUGUGGCCUUUCUCGCCACAAUUGAAGCACACAACCUCUGCAGCAUCCUUCUUCUUAGGCCGCCUAACAUCGACCAUCUUCUGUUUCCCUUUAUCAGCAGGGGCACUGUACGGCUUAGGACGACUCUGCUGUCCCUUGCCCUUCCUUUCAUUCACUACCUUGUAGUGAGCCUUGGUAUCCUCCUCAUAGAUCCUGCAGCUAUUAACCAAGUCCUGAAAAACUCUCAGCUGUUGGUAUCCAAUCGCCCUCUUAAUGUCGGGCCUCAAACCGUUCUCGAACUUGAUGCAUCUCGAGAACUCAGCAUUCUCUGCAGUAUAGUGCGGAUAGAACUUAGACAGCUCCACGAACUUGGCAGCAUACUCUGUCACGGACAUAUUUCCUUGCUUCAGCUCAAGGAAUUCGAUCUCUUUCUUCCCGCGAACAUCUUCCGGAAAGUAUCUUCUCAGGAACUCUCUCCUGAAAACAGCCCAAGUCACCACAGCUCCUUCCUGCUCGAGGGUAGGCAGAAUAGCAACCCACCAGUCAUCAGCUUCCUCGGCCAGCUGAUGAGUACCAAACCGCACCUUCUGAUCUUCAGUGCACUGCAUAACUCGGAAAAUCCUCUCAAUCUCCUUAAGCCACGUCUGGGCUCCAUCAGGGUCAUAACGUCCUUUGAAAGUCGGAGGGUUCUUCUUCAUGAACGUCUCCAACAUCCUAGCUUCAGCAUUUGCACCAGCAUUCACGUUAGGUUGUUGUCCCACAGCUUGGGCAACAGCUUGUAGAGCAGCAGCUAACGCAGCAUCAUUCCUCCCAGCCAUUUCUGAUAUUCUACAAAAGUAGCAACAACAACAUAAGAUAGUAAUAUAAAUAUUACUAAGACUCGACACGACUCUCUAAUUGACCGGACGGAUCGACCUGCUCUGAUACCAAUUGUAACACCCCGUUUUCCCAAUAUACAAAUUUCUUAAACAAUUAUCAGAGUAAAAACCAUAAACGGGAUAUCACAUAGAAACGUAAUCCAAAACAGUUAAAUAAUGAUUUAACCUUCACAAAUUAUCUUUAACAUAGCAGCGGAAAAUCAUAAUCAUAAUUCGUAAAACGAUUUUGGCACGCAGGCCCAAUAAGUAUCUCAAAAGAGUUUAUCAAAACAUAAGCAGUUCACGUAAAAGAAUGAAGCAUGUUAUAGCAUAUAACCCCAUCCCGUUACGUAUCAGAGCGACCUAGACGACACAGUGAAGGCAAGGCCAACUCACGAAGCAACUGCACACUAAGCACGAUCACCUGCAAGUUACCCAUACGAAGGGCAACAUUUUCAAGCAGAAGGGGUGAGAUUUCAUAAUAAAAUAACAUUAAUCAAUGUAAUUGCGAAUCAUAAUUAACAUCAUAAACAUUCCAUUAUUAACUUUGCAUAAAUGCUAAACAGUCAUCACGUAAUCAUAUAUCCAAUUCAUUAUGAACAACGAAACAUAAUCAAAUAACACUUAUCACAUAAUCACAUAUUCAUUCAUUAUCAACAAGGCAUCUUAAUCAUGACAAUGUGACAAUGCUCCUAGACUCUUAUAUGCAUGUGGUACCAAUCGUCAUCAUAAGUAUUAAUAUACUUUAAUCGUGCGGAGGACAAAGCUCCUAUAAAUCGUGCGGAGGACAAAGCUCCUAAUUUUCGUGGUGAGGACUAAGCUCAAUGAUAUGCUAUGCAUGGACUCUUAACAACAAAACACGUAAUCAACGUAAUCAACAUGCAUCCAAUAAUUUGGAGCUAAACUUUAUCAUAUACUUAUGCACUUAGUUAAACAACGGAAGCAGCAUAAACAAGUCACAUAUCAAGAUGAUAUUAUUAUAUCAAUAGCACGUAAAUUGCAUUAUUAUCAAACCUUCAUAUCUUGCAUGAAUAUACGAUACAUUAAUUCAUAUUCAAUUAAUAUCAAUAUAACCUAGACAACUCUACAGGCUGCAUUAAACGUCAUCACUAGGUCUCAUUACCAGCUAGGGGUUCACUCUUGAUCAACAAGUGCGACACAGAUCGCACAGACACUCAGGAAACUACAAUCUGGUUGUACUCGCGAGGCGAGAGUUCUUACUCGCCAUGGCGAGCACCACUCAACUCCCAAACUAAGCUUGUUCUGGGUUCCCUCUGAUCCUACAUUCAUUCCUAAUCAAUACUAGGCAUGUUCAGGUACUCAAAGGCAUACAAGAUUCAACUAAAAAGGUCGAAACACGAAAUAUGACAUGCACUCUGCCUAAGCUCGCGAGGCGAGGAAGGUUGCUCGCCAUGGCGAGUUGCACCAAACAACUCGCGAGGCGAAGGAAAGGGGCUCGCGUGGCGAGCGAUGAAGUUCAUCACUCGCGAGGCGAGGAUCAUCACUCGCCGUGGCGAGCGAUGAACAGAAGCACGGGCAGACUAGGGUUUUUCUCAAAAAUCCAUCACACAACAUGGUUCAAAGCCUAAUUUUGAUUCCAGAAUUCAUCCUAAACAUAUUCUAAGGUUAAAGGACGGUUUCUACAUCAAUCUAAACAAGUUUUACCGUUUGAUCAUCAAUUUUUAGGGUUUUAACCUAAUUCCAAAACUUUUCUAAAUCAAUCCUAACUUUGUCAAUUAAUCAUCAGAAUUACAACAAUCAAUGCUAUUGAAUUACUAGUCUCACCCUUACCUGGUUAUGAAGAAAAUCGCAGCACUCUACCUUGAUUCCUCUAGACUUGGCUUUUCUCCCUUCUUCAAAAGUUUUCACGUACAAUGAGUUUCUAAAAUAUUAGGUCUUCUCCUAUUUAUAUCUUUUCCUAAUUACUUAUCUUAUCUCACUUUCUCCCCCAAAACUAUCUAAAAUAUCAAAACAGCCCUCAACUAAAUAUUUUAUAUUAUUUUCAAAUCUUUAUUUUAUUUAACAAUAAAAUAAAUUCUCUAAUCUUAUCAAAUCCUCCAAAACUCAUAACCUAACACGUCAUCAAUCAAAUCAUCAAAACAUACCAAAAUCAUGCAUAUACUAUAUAAUUAUCAUAUAAUUGCCUAAACUCGAUUAAAUAAACGAUUAAACGAAAGUGGGCGUUACACUUACCCUUCCAGCUGCUCAUAAACAACCAUGAGAGGACAAUUUUUGUUUCCAUCAUACGUUUGCUCAAAUCUAAAUGUAUAUAACAACAAUGGUUAUAAACAUCUGUGCUCUGAUAAUCUGAUUAAGUAUUGUGCAUAAAACAACCAAGUUAAUCUAGAUCAUGACAAAUAGUGCAGUUGCAAAAAUUCCAAACUAGUUUGUAGACAAACCAUUUGAUACAAAUAAUGAUGAUGAUGAUGAUAUGUAUGUUUAUGAGUUCUUGUAUCAAUUUGUAAUCUAAUAAUUUUUUCUAUGUUAUCUCAAAAGUAGUGUUAAUUCUAUUCCACCGAAAACAAGCAUGCCUAAUUCUGAAAUGUUUGUUGGAAGAAGGACGGUUUCUUCAUAGCAUGAAUUUUUCUUGAUGUUACAUUUUCAGAAUUUUAAUGUCUUUUUAUUAUAUGUCUAAGUUUUUCUUUGGCUCUUUUAUUUCUUGAUAAUAACUAUGAAGUGCAAAUUUAUUUAGCUAUUCCAACUGCCUGAAAGAAAGUCAGGGAAUUUCCUUUUGCAUCUCUGGUGUUGUUCCUCCUUCCAAUGUUUUAUGCAAAAAUUUAGGCUUCGUGAAUGACUUUAAUCUCAAAAAUUUACUAUAAUGUUCUCAUUUUUUAUGGUGAAGACCCCUCGUAAAAAAAACAACAUAUUGGUAUGUUUGUUUGAUUAGUUUCAUAAGUCAUAAUUAACCAGAGUAAACAACUUUGAUAUAGUGUGACAACAACAAUUAUGCUUUUACAAAUGAACCGCCAAUUCCAAAACCUACUUGUAAGUAGUAGACAUAUUUGAGUGUGGCAUGAAAUUGAAGUCCACAACUGCAUCUAUACAAGGUAUUUCUUCAAUCCAAGCAACAUCGGAAUAAAUAGAGAUUGCAUGUUUUUCUAAAUAGUGGCCAGCUUGAUUAGCUUCUCUUCAAACAUGAGAAAAAUAUUAAAAUUGUGCCAAUAUUUUGGCACUCAGCGGCAACUGCACCUAUGUAACUAUGAUGCAUGUUUGCCGAAUCAGAUUCUGCUUCUAAAUUUCGGAACAACAAAUCUUUCGCAAAAUUCAACCCCAUAAGUAUUGCCAUAUUUACAGCUAUGUCAGAGUCAGAGAGUGUCGGACGAUACCAGCUAGCUGCGGAUAAAACAACGCCAUCAGAAUUUCUCACUGCCGUGGAUAAACUCCGGCUGCUAACAUCGUUAGGACUAGUUGUGUCAACAUUUAAUUUGUAUUGAUUGGAGUUUGGCUGCCUCCACUUCACAUGUGACCGAGGGAUAGGAAUUGGGAUAGUAUUUCAUUGCAAAUUCAACUCAACGUGUAACUACUUGAAUUGCUCUCUUGCAAAUAUCUAAAGCCAUAGAUAUUAAUCUCUUCAAAAUAACUUUUAUUGCUUACACUCCAAAUUUUAUAGAAGAAAGAACAAUCAAAUUAGCGUCGGAAAGUAUUGUUCAAUAACGAUUGUUCAAAAUUGAUUUACCACCUGUAUUUGAAAUUUGGUGUUAUAUUGAUUAAGACAGAGAACUAUGGUCCACAAAAACUUAGUUAGUAUAACACAAAUGUUAAUGUAAAAAUACAUUGUCGACGUAAAAAUAAUUUACAUUGAGAUAAUGAUUUUAAAAUGUUAAGCGAAUUAGGGUUAGACUUGGUGGUAGGAUAACUAUUCACAAUUUAUACAUAUAAAUAAUUCUUUAAAAAAAAUCUAUAAAUUCUUGAAUGUAAAAGUCAUUUUUUAAUCCCUAAAAAAGGGUCAAAUGAGGCCAUUUGUUAUGAAUUUUAAAAAAUUGCUUUAAAGAGGUUUUAUCUUUUUAUUACUGUUUUUUUUUUAUUUAGGACUACAAAAAUCUAAAAACACCUUCAAAUAAAAUGGCAUAUUGUAUGGAUGUAUGAAAAGUUGGGUUUUUUAAAUAUCAUUGUUGUUUGAAAGAAUUAUCGCUAUUUUUCGCAAUAUGCAAUUAACAACACCGAAAAAUGUGUGCAACAUAGUCAAAAGGGUAUUAAAUUUCUUCUUACGUAUCUAUUGUUGUUGUUUUGUGAAUGUCAUAAUAGAUUCUAGAAUGAAGAUAGGUGAUUGCCAACUAUUAUUUAUGGGUCUUUACUCUUCAAGAACAAUUUUUUGUUUGUUUGAAGAAGCUAAAUUAGCCCAACCACUCAACUAAAUUGUCGGUGUUUAUUAAUGGAAAAGCCCCUGGUUACUUUUCUUGUUAUCGGGGAGUGAGGCAGGGAGAUCCUAUCUCUCCUCUCCUAUUUUGUCUUGCCGAGGAAGUAUUGAGUAGAGGGUUACAGAGUCUUAUUUUAGAAGGAAAACUCACCUCGAUGAAUGCUUGCAGACGAUUUUAGGUCCAUAGCCACUACUUGUAUGCUGAUGAUAUUAUGGUCUUUGUAAAGGACCUAUAUCCAAUGUUAAAAAUAUUAUGGAACUUCUUUUUGAUUAUGGGGAGUACUCCGGGAAACUUAUUAAUGCAGGUAAGAGAAAAUCUUACUCUGGCUCAAUCCCUCUUUCCAGGCAACAUGCUAUUGCGGCUUAGAUAGGAUUCAGCCAUGGUUCCUUGCCUUUUACUUAGUUAGGCGUGCCACUUUUUAAAGGAAGGCCUAAAGCAUAAUAUUUCAGGCCUAUAGUGGAUAAAAUCAAAGCAAAGCUUGCAUGUUGGAAAGGGUUUUUGCUUUCCAUUAUGGGAAGGGUGCAACUUGUUAAUUCGGUUUUGAGCAACAUGUUUGUGCAUUCCUUCCAUGUCUACAAGUGGCCCUCUAGCUUGCUAAACCAACUCACUGUCAUGCUUAGAAAUUUUAUAUGGAGUGGGGAUAUCUCCAAUAAGAAAAUAUGUACGGUUUCUUGGAACACGGCCUGUAAACCUCGUGAGGACGGUGGCCUAGCUAUUAAGGAUCCUUCAUGUGUCAAUGAAGCUUCUUUGCUUCAUUUAUGUUGGAAAAUGCUCAUUAGUGAUGAAAAAUGGGCUGUCAUGUGCAGGGCUCGAUUCCUAGGGAAAAAUUUGCAUGUUUCCUACAAUCUGUCUUCCUCUAUUUGGCAUGGGCUAAAGCAUCAUAUCAGCACUGUGUUUCACCCACAAGGGCUUUCAUUCUAUGGCGGUUAAUCUAUGAUAAGAUCCCCACUAAUGACAACCUUAGAAAGCGUGGUUGUGUGAUAGUUUCUAGGUGUUGUUUCUGCAAAUCUCAGGUGGAAUCUGCUGAUCACAUCUUUUUUACUUGUUCUGAAACGAUAAAAAUUUGGCAAUGGCUACAGAAGGACGUGCAGCACCUGGACAUUUCCACUUGUCUAAAUCUGUUACACAUCAUCAUCUGCAAGGGAGCAAGUUCACGCAUUAGAUUCUGAUUUCUGUCAUCAUUCAUAGCAUAUGGCAAAUCUUGAUCGAACGUAACAAUCGAUAUUUUCAAGAUAAGGAACUCAAUAUAUCCCACAUCGUCAGAAAAAUCAUUUCCGAAGUUAAGUUUAGCUCCUCUUUGAUGUCUAGUGCUAAUGAUUCCUCCUCUCUAGACUUCAAAGUUCGUUCUUAGUUCCUGAUUCCUUCGCAUUCUAGCAGGAAGGUGCACGUUAGUGAGGUUUUUUGGAAACCUCCGCAGAGGGGAAGCAUAAAAAUAAACAGUGACGAAUCUUCAUUUGGCUAUUGGAAUUGUAAUUCGUGACUGGGAAGCAAAGUUCCUGGGAGGCUUUGUUCAUAACAUUGGAAAUGCUUCUGCUUAUGUGACGGAGGUUUGCGCAGCAAUGUAUGCAAUAGAGAAAGUAGUUGAGAUGCAGUGGCGAGAUAUUUGGAAUGAAAAUGACUCUUUAAUGGUUGUUAAGGGGUUUUCUAACCAUUUGGAUGUUCCUUGGACGUUGAGAGUGCGAUUGCCCUGGCUCAAUCUUCUUCCGAUGGAAUAAAAUCAAAUAAUAUCCUAUUACCAAAAAAAAAAUCAAAUAAUAUCCAUAAAGGAAAAUAAGGUUUGUUUCCUUAACUACGUAUUUCCGUUGGUUUGCUCAAAACCAAGGAAUACUCAUUAAGAGUCUUAAUGUCAUUCACAUAUUUGGACAUAGGACUAUUAGGCUUUGUAUUAUAAAGGAUCAGUUGUAAUUGUAUAAGAAGAUAACACAGAACAAUAAACAAAGGGGUGAAGCAAGUUCAAGUGCUGCCAAUAAUCCUUGAGCUACAUUAAUUUUGAUAUUAGUCUAAUUUUUUAAUUUCAUUACUCACUCACAAUAUUAUCUUUCACUGCUAUCCCUAAUCCUUUUAGAGCUUAUUACUUUCACGUUUUGUUGUGUCUUCCAUUCCACAAAAUAUAGACAAAAACUGCCAUAUGAGCGAGCCCUUGGUAUGAUUAACUACACACAGGUAUGCCUUAGAUAUAAUUCCAUUUUCCUCAAUUUUUUAUUUUUUUUGCAUGUAUUCAUUUUAAUUUGUAAUCUGUGUUCUUCUAAUUUCUGCUAAAAUUGUUGCAGCUUCCUUGAAGAGAUCGGAUGCUAUUCUUUGAUAAUGAUUUAAAUUUCUUAUGGUCCUCUACAAUCCCCUCUCCUUUGUACUUUAAUCUUGACAUUGUUAUAUUUUUUCAUCUCAACUUCGAGUGUAAUUUCUUUGAUUAAAAAAGUAAGAAAUUCUGAUAGAAUGGGUUGUUCAAAAGGACAGAUCAAAAAAAAUGGUACAAAAAAAUCUACUUAAGAUUUUCUUUUUUGUUUUUGGUUAAAUCAUCUUAUUCUACAUUGAAAAUAUUUUCAUAUUUAAUUUGAUCAUGUGUGUAGAUAUUCAAGGCAUCUGCUACAUAAGAGAAAACCUAGAUACACAUUGGGUUCAAGCCCAAUCAAUUCAAGCAUACGAAUCAGGUACACAAUCUUAGUAAAAUUUAAUUUUGUUUUCCAAUGGGAUGAUUCAAUAUAUCGUAACAUAAACGUCUUGAUUUAUUCUAGAGAUAUUGCUAUCACUUUCUUUGUGUUAAAUGGACGUUUAAAGAAUGUGAUGUCUAGAAAUUGAUGCAUUUCUCAAUCAUGCAACAAGAUAAAAGAUUGUGUAAUUUUCUCCUACUUUAAAUAUUGUCUAAUAACAAAUUCAUUUACAAAUUUGAAACAAGAGAAACAAAUUUGAGAAUUAUAAAUAUGAUUCAUUGAAGUAUUAAAUGGUUUUGUUGAAUGCUUUAUUAUGUUUCUUGCAUUCAGGAUGUGUAAUAUUUUAAAUAUAUUUCAUGGAAGUAUCAAAUGAUUUUGUCGAAUUCUUCUUGAAAUUUAAAUUUGGUUAUUUUUUUUAAUUUUUUUUUAAUUGCUAACACUUUUUUCAAAACACAUCCCAAUCUACUCAAGAUGAGCAGGAAAGGGACAUUCUCACCUUUGUUUAUUCCACUAAUGAAAUGUGCUAAGUUGCUACGUUUAUCUGGGCAGAUGAUCAGCGAUUGUGAAGGAUCAGAAGCAUAAAGAAGUGCCAUCAUGUUAUUAUUCCCCUCAUCAUUUUCCCGAUUCUUUACGUAGUCCACAUCUCCAACAUAUUCUGCUAUUAUUGUCAAAGCUUUUAUGGGUUCAUCAACUUCUACAGUAAACCUUCGAAAGAAGAAAUAUAUGUUAGGAUUAGAGUGCAAAACGAGAAAAAGUUGAUGCCAGUUUUUGUUGCAUAAUCACUUACCCUUCCAGCGGAUCAUAAACAACCAUGAGGGGUGGACAUUAUUCUCCUCUUUCCACCAUACGUGUGCACAAGUUUUGAGACUCGGUGCCUUCUUUUGAUGAUAUCUGAGAAAAAGAUAUACAGACAGGCAUUAAAUCUAAAUGCAUAUAACAACAAUGGUUAUAAACAUCUGUGCUCUGAUAAUCUGAUUAAGUAUUGUGCAUAAAACAACCAAGUUGAUCUAAAUCAUUUUAUACAACGUGCUGCCAAAAGUUUUUUCUCACCUUUGUGGGUUAUCUGGGCAAACAGAAAUUGAGGAAGGCAGUGAAGAGAUGGUGAUAGGCACUGAUGUUGAUACACUGGAAAUGAAAGCAUCAUCAGUUAAAAUGUCAACUCAAUGCAAAUAAUCUCCUACAAAUUUUCGACACAAUAGCUUUAAAAGAAGUUUCAAUGAAUGUCAAAAAAAUCACAUGUCUAAUAUGGCGGCUAUUCUCACGAUGGUUGUCGUGAGUUUUUACCUGCUGCAGCCGAAGGUACCACCAUUUUUUUUUAAUGUGCUGCUUGUGAAUGUCACAGAAACUUCCAUUGUAAUGUACCUGCAACUACUCUUGUCAGAACUUCAUCUAUGGGGAUCCACAUUUCAAUGGAGGAUCUUGAAGAAAAUGUUCGUGUUAGACAUAUUGAGCCUAUCAAUGGUGAUGGUGCUGGAGAAUCGACGUCGAAAUCGAAUAAGAGGUUUUGGACAAAGUUUACCCAUGAGCAAAGGAAGAAGAUGUUGGAUUUUGCAAUGACAUUAGGUUGGAAGAUUAAAAAGAAUGAUGAGAAUGUUGAGGAGUUUUGUAAUGAGAUAGCAGUGAAGCGUUGUGUUUUUAAGGUUUGGAUGUAUAACAAUAAGCAUACCCAUGGAAAAAAGUAGAUGAUGAUGAUGAUGAUAUGUAUGUUUAUGAGUUCUUGUAAUAUUUGUAAUCUAAUAAUUUUUUCUACGUUUAAAAUCAAUAUUUAUGUUAUCAAAAAACUAUGCUUAAUUCUAUUUCACCAAAAACAUGCAUGCUUUAUUCUGAAAUGUUUUGUUGGAAGAAGGAUAGUUUCUUCAUAGCAUCAAUUUUUUCUUGCUCUUGCAUAUUUUGAAUUUUAAUUUCUAUUUAUUAUAUGUCUAAGUUUGUCUUUGGCUCUUUUAUUUCUUGAUAAUAACUAUAAAAUGCAAAUAUUUUUAGCUUUUCCAACUUGUUGCCAGAAAUAUUCAUUGAAACUUGAAAACAUUGAUCAACUCAAAUUUGUCCACAUACUAAAAUGGCGAGUAAGAAAUAUUAAAGCCGUGCAUUGGUUGUAGCGGAUCUAAAUCUUUGUGUCCUUGAGACUGUGCAGAAAGGAGACGCCAUAGAUAGUUCAUAGCAUUGGUCAAAAUAUAUUUCCCAUCAAAUGAAGUUGACAAAUGAUUUCAAUAACAUCACAACAUUCAAUUAGAAAUAAUAAGUAGUAAUGGAUGUAUUAAACUCUAAAGAUUUCUUAGAAAAUUGUUUUACAGGACUUGUUAUUACCAAACACUCAAUUUAAAUGUUGUUACCACAGUAUAAGAGGGUGUUUUAUGUAAUUAGUAGGUGAUUAAUCAGGUAUAAACAUUCUCUGUAUUUGUAUCUAAUGGGAAAUUCACAGGAGAUUUAAAGUAGGGCAGAGUAAGUUCCAUUUAGGGUCAGAAUUUCUCUCAGAGUUGCGUCGGAGCUUUAUCUGGUAUCCCUAGUUAUCUAUAAUUUUCAUCAUUAUUCCUUAUUUCAUAUUUGGGUUCCUAUCAAAAGUAUUUACUAGUUAGAGAUAUACAUACCUUUGUGAUCGGUGGUGUUCUUAAUUAGAAUGUAAAAUAAGUAAUCACCACUUCUUGCAAAAGUUAAGAAACAACCAGUUCCAUUAUCAAGCUUUUGAAUCCAAAGCAGCUGAGUAGGGUUGUCCUCGUACUUUUUGGACACCCUCCAUUAGUGUUAUACCCAUAACACAAAUCAGCCCUUGCUAUGUUACUUCCUUUCCUGUUUAUCAGUUGUCAUCUGGAGUUGUGUAUGUUAAGUACUCCUCAUGCUUAUUAGUCACAAUUUUCUACUGAAUUUUCAUUAGAUAUGUAUUGUUUAUCAGUUGAUAUCUAUUGUUUUUCGUUAGCUUGACUGAACCACUAAUGCUUGAAACCAGUGACCAGUUUUCACAAGUUUUAUGAUUCACACCUAAUUUCAUCCCAGGGAGGAAACAAUCGCUUGGAUGAUCAUAACUUUGCCUCUAAACAGUCUUCAUCUGAAUAUCUUGUAACACAACAUUACCAUUAUCCAACAAGGUGGAAGCAAUAGUACUAUUGUUAAAAUAUGUAGGUGAAGCAUACAAGAUAUUGGUUUUCCAAAUUCAGAUUCAAUUUUGAGUAAACAAGAGUGGUCUAUUAAUAAAAACUACAGAAUGUGGGAAGAUUAAUCUGCAAUUAAGUUUUGGAUUAUUAACAAUUCUAAUUGCAAGUGGGAAUAUCAUGACAAUCUGUCAUUAAAAGAUAUUUGUUAUUCAUUUUUCUAAUCAAAACAAUACCGCAUUGCUUUUCUCCGUAUUUCAUUGUAUAUAUUUUAUUCAGAUUAUCUUAUCAUCCAUUUCCAGAACAACUCUUUGACCCUUCGAAGACUCGUGCUUCUAUACUAGAACAAGUUAUUAAGGAAUAAAGAAUAAAGCAGUUUGGUAUUCUUUUGAUUAGAAAAAUGAAUGACAAAGCUUCUUUAAUGACAGAUUGCCAUCCCAUUCCCACAUGCAAUCACCAUAUUAAAUAAUCCAAAAAUUCAAUGCAGAUUAAUCUUCCCACAUUUCAAGCAUUGAUUCUAUGACUUAAAUAUGGGUUGUAGUUCAAAGGGGAAACCUUGUGUUGGUGGACAAGUAUUUCUAGGGGUGGGCAUGAUUCGGUUAACCUAAGAAACCGAACCGAACCAAACCGAAAUUUUGAAAUGAUUCGGGAAAACCGAACCGAACCGUUUUAGGUAUGGAGCUAACCGAACUGAACCAAAGUUGUUGUUCGGUUAACCAUUUUCAAUAAUAAUAAGCAUAUAAUUCAUCAAAUGCAUUUAACAACUUAAGCUUCAUCAAUUAAUAACAUUAACUCUUCAUAUAAUACUUCAUUAAAUCAUCGAUCAACUUCUAGUCAUCAUUAAUAUCAUAUUCAUCACCUUAUAUACAUUCAUCAUAUAACAACAUAAUCAUCACAUCAUAACAUCAUCAUGUAACAGCAUAAUCAUCACAUCAUAAACAUCAUCAUAAUAUAACAUAAACAUCACAUCAUAAACAUCAUCUUAUAACAUCAUAUACUUCACAUCAUAAACAUCAUCAUAUAACAACAUAAACAACAACGAUUAAUAAAUAUUAAUAUUUCACAUAGUUCUUCAUUAACAACUCAUUGAUAAAUUACAACUUAACGACAACGACAAUGCGACUUCAACAACUUAAACUCGACAAAUGCAACUUCAACGUCUUAAUCAUGCAUGUGGUACCAACCAGGGCAUCAAGCCCCCGACGUAUUGAGCGUAAAUAGGCUCACAUGGUAUCAAGCCCUCAACGUAUUGAGCGUAAAUAGGAUCACAGGGCAUCAAGCCCUCAACAUAAUAUGUAUAAAUAUACAUUACAGGGCAUCAAGCCCUCAACUUAAAUGAGUAUGCAUGGACUCAACGUCUUACAACUUAAACAACUUAGACCAACAUUAGCAUCCUAAUCAGGACAGCAAGGCAGCACCAUUAAAUAAUAUGCAGCAAGUCAACAUCAACAAUAAUCUGAAGGUGAAAAACACAAGAAGGGGGGGGGGUUGAAUUGUGUUUUCUUUUUCUCUUAAAAAAAAUACUUCUUCUGAUAAAACUUCAGAAGCAGUUUGAGUGCUUCUGAUGAAAUGAUCAGAGUCAGAUUGCAGCGGAAAAGAACAGAGCAGAGAAAAGAAAGACAAAGACACAAGCAGUUAUCCUGGUUCCUUCCACAACACAGAAGUAGUCCAGUCCCCCUUGCACUUCCAAGGAGAUUUCACUAUAAUCACAAAGAUUACAACUGCUCAAUACUUUCUAAGUAUGAGACUUCACAAAAAUGCUCAAGCACACACGCAAGAGUCUUCCAAUGCUCAAGCACUAAGCAAGAGACUUCUAAUGCUCAAGCACGCAGGCAAGAGACUUCUGAUCAAACAAAAAUACAGAGAAUUGAGUUUGAGUUGAACACUUGAUAUACAAUCAGUGGUGUUCACAAUACAAUACAAUAAAGACUCUAGACUUUGAAUUUCUAAGAUGUAUCAAAUCAGUGCAGAAAUUCAGUGUGCUUUGUAGAAUCAAAUUGACAGAGUUUUGGCGCUUUUUAACUUAUGUAUGUCUAUUAUUUAUCUUCAAGUCUUCACUCCUUUAUAUAGAGGUGUGAAAGAGACGUUGAGAUAAUCAACACGUCUAAAGAGUCGUUUGAAAUCCUUUGAUUAUCCACCAGUAAUCCUUUUCCUGAUUUGGGUGUAGUCCUUUGAAGAAUAAGCUUCAAAUUCAUUCCCAUCUUGAACGUACAACUUCUGCAGGCAUGGCUGUUGUCUUGUCUUGUAGCGUAGACAGAAAACAGAGUAGUGGAGGUAGUGGUUGUACACUUGUACUUUGUCAACUCUAUUAACGAGAGACAAGUGCUCAGUGCUAUCCAUAUAUCCGUUGAUACCUCCCUUUCAAUUCUUCGUUCUUCU